GCUUCUGUGAGGAGCACUGGCAUUAGCAUUGUGGUUAGCGCUGAGGUUAGCUUUCUAGCUUCUGUGAGGAGCACUGGCAUUAGCAUUGUGGUUAGCGUUGAGGUUAGCUUUCUAGCUUCUGUGAGGAGCACUGGCAUUAGCAUUGCGGUUAGCGCUGAGGUUAGCUUUCUAGCUUCUGUGAGGAGAACUGGCAUUAGCAUAGUGGUUAGCACUGAGGUUAGCUAUCUUGCUUCUGUGAGGCACACUGACAUUAGCAUUGUGGUUAGCGCUGAGGUUAGCUUUCUAGCUUCUGUGAGGCACACCGACAUUAGCAUUGUGGUUAGCACUGAGGUUAGCUUUCUAGCUUCUGUGAGGCACACCGACAUUAGCAUUGUGGUUAGCACCGAAGUUAACUUUCU